UAUAGAAGACAGGCCACUUACCAGCAAAUAGAGGAACAGAUUUAUUCUUCCUGCCUCCUAACAGAAACAGCCGCACCUGAACAAACUUGCAAGYUCUUUUCCCUGGCUCGGCUACCAUAAUGUGACUCUAUGAUUUCAUCCAAUAUUGAAAUGGAAGUUCCCUGAGGAUAUUCUCUGCCAGUCUUCACCAUAUCCAUCAAACCAGCCAUUCCUUUUGUCUGGAGGAGUUCUGACUAUAGAUGCAGACUGCUCAAAGGCUGCAUGUGCUGCUGGACAGGAAUAUCAGAGAACUGACAUCCCAAAGGAGCAUCCCASGAACUACCGAAGACUCUCAAGUUUUGGCAUAUAUGAUCCCCAUUCUCCUUGCUGAAUUAUGCUAAGCCUUGUGUUGGACACCAUUUCCUAUGCUCUCCUUUUAGAAGAGUAGCCCACAAUGGCAACUGGUUUCCUAAGAGAAUACAUGGAUGAAGAGUCAGCAUCCAGGGAGAUGCUUGUAUGAACUGGAUGGAACUACUUGACUGCCUUCUCUGCAGAGUAAACAGCCCAACAUGCCAGUUUGCAAAACUACAUAACCCUGUAGCUGCCUGGUGUGACCAGCAAAGUGUCCUAUGUGUACUCACAUCACAGCAUGCUGCACAAUUCAAGAAGCCCUCAGAAGAGCUGUACCUUGUGAUUACCAGAGCAAAGGCAGCUUUAGAGUCUCUAAAU